GGUGUUGAUAGGGGACCAAAUGUCCCACAUUGAUGAUGUCACUCUCUAAGUGAUCGAUUUUGGUCUACAAAUCUAUGCGGGUAGCCCCUCCGUGUCUAGGCCUCGUCCUCAGCGAAAGAAAUCCUUGACGAUGCCUAAACAUGGGAAGAAGAUUUGUUGAAUGCACCUGAUACGCCUGAGGAUCGAGAGACGACAGAGGUAAUAGCCACAACUACUCCAUCAAUGGCCCCUUCGCGGUUCAGCCAUAACUUGGAUCCUUUCAAGUUUGUGUUCCAAAAAACUCCUAAGACUGACAAGGAGAAGAGAAAGAAGACAAUAUAUCCUAGAUCAACAGAUGAGAGCUGCGUACUGCAUCAAAGAGGCUUGAUUUUGAUGAUCCACCACAAGUAUAGGAUCAUAUAGUGUUAGUUGUGGUCAUUGAAUGACCAAUACAUGUAGACAUAUUCUACAUUUUUAUUGUAUAUCGAUUUGGA